GGAGGGGUGGCCGAGUGGCUGAAGGCGGCGGUUUGCUAAAUCGUUGUACUGGGAAACUGGUACCAUGGGUUCGAAUCCCAUUCCCUCCGCCA
rnacentral:tRNA from 1 species